GAUGAACGCUGGCGGCGUGCCUAAUACAUGCAAGUCGAGCGGACGGACGAUAAGCUUGCGUCUCUGAUGUUAGCGGCGGGCGGGUGAGUAACACGUGGAUAACCUACCUAUAAUACUGGGAUAACUUCGGGAAACCGGAUCUAAUACCGGAGAAUAUUUUGAACCGCAGUGUUCAGAGGUUAAAUACGGUCUUGCUGUCACGUAUAGCUGGUUCCGCGCUGCAUUAGCUAGUUGUUAAGUUAACGGCUUACCAAGGCAACGAUGCAUAGCCGACCUGAGGGAGUGAUCGGCCACACUGGAACUGAGACACGGUCCAGACUCCUACGGGAGGCAGCAGUAGGGAAUCUUCGGCAAUGGGCGAAAGCCUGACGCAGCAACGCCGCGUGAGUGAUGAAGGUCUUCGGAUCGUAAAACCCUGUUAUUAGGGAAGAACAUAUGUGUAAGUAAAUGUGCACAUAUUGACGGUACCUAAUCAGAAAGCAACGGCUAACUACGUG
rnacentral:rRNA from 1 species